rnacentral:rRNA from 1 species
UACAGGGGGGGCAAGCGUUGUUCGGAAUUACUGGGCGUAAAGGGCUCGUAGGCGGCCAACUAAGUCAGACGUGAAAUCCCUCGGCUUAACCGGGGAACUGCGUCUGAUACUGGAUGGCUUGAGGUUGGGAGAGGGAUGCGGAAUUCCAGGUGUAGCGGUGAAAUGCGUAGAUAUCUGGAGGAACACCGGGGGGGAAGGCGGGUCUCUGGACAGUUCCUGGCGCUUGGGCACGAAGGUCAGGGGAGCAAACGGG